rnacentral:rRNA from 1 species
UACGUAGGGUGCGAGCGUUGUCCGGAAUUAUUGGGCGUAAAGAGCUUGUAGGCGGUUUGUCGCGUCUGCUGUGAAAAUUCGAGGCUCAACCUCGAACUUGCGGUGGGUACGGGCAGACUAGAGUGUGGUAGGGGAGACUGGAAUUCCUGGUGUAGCGGUGAAAUGCGCAGAUAUCAGGAGGAACACCGAUGGCGAAGGCAGGUCUCUGGGCCACUACUGACGCUGAGAAGCGAAAGCAUGGGGAGCGAACAGG